rnacentral:lncRNA from 1 species
GAAGGAACACCGGGCACCCAACGCAGCAGAAGCCGUACAAGGUGGCAAUAGCUCCUGCCAAGCCAAAAGCAGUUCAAGCUGCGGCAACUGCCGCCAACAACCUGACCAAGGGGCCAUGCUACAACUGCCACAAGAUGGGGCACUUUGCUAAGGAAUGUCCCUACCCCAAGAGGCAGCAGACGACCUACCCAGCUCGAGUGCACCAUACCUCGAUAGAGGAAAUCCCAGAAGGAGAACCGGUAACAGCUGGUAUGUUUCCU